ensembl:lncRNA
AUGUUAAGAGAUUUUCAAAUGUUUCAAGUAUUAUUCCCACUUGCAUUUGUACGUUAUUGAUGGUUUAUCUUUAAUUUUAGUGUUAAUAGUUGUUUACCCAUUUAUUCUUUCCAUUUAAUUGUAUUUUAUGAUUUUACUGUUUCACUAGAAGUGAAGCUGAAGUAAAGACAAAAGCAUAGUGUUCUCAGAUAUGAUUCACCCAGUACAUCUCCUCUGUACCUGGCUCUCUACGAGCCGUUUCACUCCCAGGAAGGGGAGAGCAGGAUGUUCUUAUCUACACUCCCAAAUACAAAGAGGGGCCCAUUCUUCAGAAUCACACACACACACUCUGAGAUCAUAAACUUCACACACACACACAUACUCUGAAACGCUAUAAAUAAAGAACUGCCGCAUACGCUGGUUGUGAGCCUGAGACAGCAGCGCUCACCCAGCGUGCGCACGUUGUUACCAUCUAAACUGUCUUGAGUGUCUUCAUUUCGCCUGAAGAAUGUCUUGUUUAAAUAUUUACUCCUUACAUUUAUUUGGUCCUUCGAGCCAACGGAGUGACCUCGUCGUUUCCUGGAUUCGUGAACCCAUGCUGCAAAGUCUGUCGCGACAGCCUGUUUCUAGUGAAACAGUAAAGACCAACUACGUGAAUUUGCCGUUGGCCAGCGUUUUUAGCAAGAGGUCCACGAUCCCAGGGAGCGAGGAGGAUUCUCUCUGACCGGCAUUUUCGUCCGAACCAGGUGAAUAUAAACACUCAAGAACACAUUGCGGCUAAAAUCGGUUUUUAGAUUGACACGGUUCUUAAGAGACUCGUCCCUUAGGGACUGGAAGUCGGGAAAAGACUCGUCCCUUAGGGACUGGAAGUCGGGAAAAGACUCGUCCCUUAGGGACUGGAAGUCGGGUAUUAAGACUCGCCUGUAAGACGGAACUGGCAGUCCCCUGGGAGACUCGUUCCGCAAUUAAAAGGCUGGAAGUCAGGGAUCUCACUCUAAGAGUGAAUGGUAAAUAAAGAACGUGUCAAUUAAAAUAGGAUUAUAGUACCGCGUGUGAAGUUUAUGUGUUGUUGAAGAGUGAGUGACCUUUUGAAUAGAAACAACAGGUUUCUGCACCACUCUUACUGUUUCCUGUGUUGACCGAUGUACUGGUGAGAAGGGGUCAAAGGUUGCGCUUCAACGCAUAAAAUUAAGGCCGCCCUGGGUCUAGACCAGGGUAGAAGGCUGCCUUAAUAACCUCCCCCGACUCUAAUAUCAGCGAAGGUCACACAGAGUGUAUGUUGGCAGUAUUAAUAAAUAAAAGCAAAACAAGGUGUUUCCAAAUAAAAUAAAUCAAAAUAAAAUAUAGGAAAAAUAAAAAGGAUAACAACCUGUAAACUGGUAUUAACAAUGAAAUAUAGUUGGCAGGACGACCGUGCCUAGAAUGGAUAGAAUGCAUGAAACCAGAUAACUCACACAAAUACAUAUUAAAUGAAAUAGAGAGAUGCAUAAGGUAUAUUAAGGUUGUGUCAUUGUUCAGCCAAAGAAAGUGUGUGAAAAGGAAAAUUUCUCCAGCUUGGGAAAGGGUGAGACUGCAGCUCAUCCUCAGCCCUUGGUGGACACAAAUAAAAUAUAAAUAAAUAUUGUAAUAUACUAUUGCAUAAUAACAUUAAUAAUGAAAUAAUAUUAAAUAUGAAGAGGCACCUCAGUCAGUUGUGAUGUGAGGUGGAUAAUUGUUAAAAGUAAUCUGUAUCAAGCUUAAGGUUUGCUCAAAUUCAGUAUAAUGACAUAUGAGAUGAAGAAAAUAAAGAAAAUAUGUAAACUAAUUAAGUGCAUAGAGACACUUGACCCGCUUGUAAACCUGUCAUCCUAGAUGAGAUUUUGUUAAGAUGAAGAGCAAAACCUAUACUACCAAGCUAAUGCGCAAGAUACACACUUUUUAUUUUGUAUUAAUUUUUUUUGUUUUUCAGAGCAGAAGCUGCAUGAUAUUAAAAGCUCACACAUGCAGCAGUCUGUGAUCUCAGUUUUUUCCCUCACACUUCUGCUUUGUUUCUGACAGCAGUUCUUUUUCUUUUUGUGUCCCAACUCGUGUGUAAAGCGUUCAUGCCAUCAGCAACUUGUUUUUGUUUUUUGUUUGUUUCUUGAUGUUGCUUGAGUGAGGAAUACUGUGACUUCUGAAACAGCUCUCUUCAUGCAACUUCAUGCUUGAUGAUGAUAAUUUCAGAGCCAGCUGAGAGCUGGGUUGAGAGCGAUGCUUUGUUUUAAGUGACAAAGUAGAAAAGUUAAACUUAGUUUGUUUUUGUUUGUUUGUUUGUUUUUUAAUACGAGAGAAUGGUAAUGGAUAAGAAGUGAUAUUUUGUUUAAGUGUUGAAGAAAGCUAAAUACUGCAACAUACGCCUAGUGCAUGAUCUGCGAGCAAUGAAUGGAUCAUCUUAUUUAUCUUUAAAUAAACUCCGAUUAUGGAGACCUGAGUCACAUACUUAGGGCACACCCUUAGGUGAAGGCAGAAAGCUACUAAACAAAGAAAAGAAGCUAUAUAUACAAUGCGCGAUAGCCACAAGACUAAGCAUUCACAUUCUUUCUGACUCUUAAUGAGCCUGAGUUAUGACCGUGGCUCCCUAUUUUUCUGCCUCCACCAGAGAUGGGAGUGAAGCUCCCGUGGAAUGUGCUCUGUUCUCCUUACUGCAUCUAUAAAAAUAGCAUUCAGUAACUUGGAUAUAACCUUUCUACUUACAUUUAGGUGGAAGUGCAGACUAGAUGAAAACAGUUAAAUUCAACAAAGAGUUCGAUUACUCUGGAGAAAAGGGAAAUGUGUCUGUAACAGGAAAACAUGUAACAGGAACUACAUGCCCAUACAAAGGAGCUGACUGUGUCAAGGAUGCAGACAGACAGAGAGACACAGAGACAGCCAAUAUGUUUACUCUAACUGUUUUAAUAGUUUUGCAAUUUUCAUUAGUUUUAUUUUUCUUUAGUUUUGACUUAAGAUUUUAAAACUAAACACAUUUUUGCUACAAAAUCAGUUAAUUUUGUGACCACUCAUUGCAGUUUUAGAUAGUUUUACUUUUGUUUUUAUUUUUAUUUCUGUUAACGAAAGAAUAUUUUUUUUUUGACUUCUAGUUUUGUUUUUUCGUUGGUUUGACUUAUCAAUAAUGAAUUUGAUCUGCAGUACGCCAUUUUGAAAAUAUGGCAUAACAGAGGGCAACAAUUUUGCAGACCAAGCAGCAAAAUCAGUAGCAGUACAAACAGUAGACGCACUUAUGGUGACAACACCUCUAUGCAAAUUCCACUGGAUAUCUUGAGAAAUGAACCACACAUUUGUGCCAUUACUAGAGCGAAAGAAAUGGUUGAGGUGCGGAGCAAUUCUACAGGAUGAUCUGAUCAUAUGUGAUGGGAAACCGUUACAAACCAAGUCUUUAUACAAAAACAGUAGCUCUUGUGACACAUGAAGUUGUUCAUGCGUCAACAGGAGGGAGUCUAAUUAGUUAAAAACACUAGUUAAAGACACUUCUAUACAUUAAAUUUCAAACAAGUCAAUAAGAGAAACAAUUCUAGCAGAGUGGAUGACAAAGUUGCUGGAAAACAGAGAAAUAGUUUUGAACAAUCAACUGCCGAGUGAUUCUCUUCCAGUUUCUUGCAGGUUGAAAAAGGGUUGAACCAAUCCAAGAACCACAAACUCCCGAGCAGAAAAGUGAGCAAUAAAGUCUAGACUGCAGACCGCUCUAACCUCUGGUGUUCACUCGGUGGGGAGAAGGGCUAUCAGUGGCAACACUGAGACACUCGCUCCUCUUGCUGGGUGUCUACUCAUUGGAGGCCAAGGGUGUGUCCACGGUCGAGAAGAGGAGAAACGCUCACAGAGGGAGACCGGAUGGAGAUGGAAAAGUUAAAUAAGAAACCGCACAGACGACGUCGAUGCUGGACAAGAGGAUGCCAACUGACCACUGUCACAACGAUGUGUUCCAUGCUCGUGUUCACAGUAUUCUUAUCACUGGCCCUGGUAGGCAUGAACACGGCCUGCACCAGCAACCCAUGUGACCCACACUGCCCAAGGAUUUACCGGCAGGCUCCAAAUGUGACGUGUCCUGAAAGGGGAACCAUUUUUAAGCUGCAGCCUAUGCCCAGAAGAACGCGCAGCGCAACGAGAAACAAAGAAGUGGAGAACAAUGCUGCACCUUCAUACCUAACAACACUGCAGCUGACGGCAGUCUGACCAGAGCCCUGGAAAGACUGAAGACCCUGAAUGAGAGAAUGAAAGAACAUUCUGGAGUGGACACUUCCAUGUGGGACAGCUGGAUGGACAUGUUUGGAAAGUACCGCAGCCUAGUGUCAUCAAUCCUAGUGUCAAUAGCUGUUUUUGCAGCCAUAUUGACCCUAUGUGGCUGUUGUUGUAUUCCCUGCAUAAGAUCCAUGAUCAACAGACUGAUAGCCACAGCUAUUACACCGGACCCUGUCGGCCAAAAAGAAAUUAUGACACUGCUGGAGCACGCCGACACUGACUCAAACACCGACGAUUUAAGAUGAAGAAACAACCUGUAACUAAAAAAAAAAGACACUCCUGUUAAUAAUGAAGCAACAGUUAAAAUGCACUGUCAAGAGACUGUACGCUGAUAAAAGUUAAAAUGGGUAAAACAAAUUAACAACAGGAGGGAUAUGUUAAGAGAUUUUCAAAUGUUUCAAGUAUUAUUCCCACUUGCAUUUGUACGUUAUUGAUGGUUUAUCUUUAAUUUUAGUGUUAAUAGUUGUUUACCCAUUUAUUCUUUCCAUUUAAUUGUAUUUUAUGAUUUUACUGUUUCACUAGAAGUGAAGCUGAAGUAAAGACAAAAGCAUAGUGUUCUCAGAUAUGAUUCACCCAGUACAUCUCCUCUGUACCUGGCUCUCUACGAGCCGUUUCACUCCCAGGAAGGGGAGAGCAGGAUGUUCUUAUCUACACUCCCAAAUACAAAGAGGGGCCCAUUCUUCAGAAUCACACACACACACUCUGAGAUCAUAAACUUCACACACACACACAUACUCUGAAACGCUAUAAAUAAAGAACUGCCGCAUACGCUGGUUGUGAGCCUGAGACAGCAGCGCUCACCCAGCGUGCGCACGUUGUUACCAUCUAAACUGUCUUGAGUGUCUUCAUUUCGCCUGAAGAAUGUCUUGUUUAAAUAUUUACUCCUUACAAGCAAAUAAUGCAAAUUUAUAUGCCUUUUUUCAUUGUUUUUUCCAAACGCACUUGAUUUAUUGAUAUUUUUUAUUUGAACUUGCAGUUAGUUACCACAAUGAAUUGUAUGGUAACUAACAGCCACCAGUCUAGCACACUGUUUUACUUUAAAUUUGCCACAAUAUCACAAACCUGUUUAUCACGAUCUAAAAUGCCAAGUAUUUUCAUACAAAUUUUGAAUAACACAAUGUUGGUAUGAGUCAGUUUGUUCCACAGGAUGUUUUAUAAUAUGAAAUAAGCACAAUUUUACAUACAGAUAUGUAAAUACCCGAUUUACAAAACGAGGACAUUAUGUAUUUAAAUUUAAAUUUACAGUCUAUAAAAUGUCAUUGAUCAGCAUUAACCUUUAAAUAUAACCUGUCUUCCUUUCCUGCCUCACAUGUGAAGUUAUCUGUCACUUUUCUCUCCCUGGGAAAUGCAUCAGCUUUACAUUUAGCUAGCAGUCACAUUGUGCAACAAACUGCACAUAACCACACACAGUGUGUUUUUUACUGAUCUUUGUUGGACUGAUAGAAACAUUACAUUUGAAAUUACCUGCCACUCCAAAAUAGUUACUCCCUUUAUGCUUGUGCCUGUUCUGUAGCGUUAGCUAGAUCAUGAAGUACUGUAACUUUCCUCAAAUGCAUUAAAUUCAUUAAACAUUAACAAGUAUCAAGCCUUUUUUAAAUUUAAGGCAUAGAAAGUACAGCCAUUUGUGUAAAACUGUAGGUAGUGGAGUAAUGUAAAAGUUGUCAGAAAAAUAAAUAGUAAAACAAAGUACAGAUACGUCUUGAUGCAUUCUCAAUCAUCCAGGAAAGUAAAUCUCCAAAAGUUGAAUCUGUUCAUCUGGACGUAGCGUUUUGUGGGAGAAACGUUUCUCCCACAAAACGCUACGUCCAAAUGAACAGAUUCAACUUUUGGAAAAGUACAGAUACCUGAAAAUUCUACUCAAGUACAGUAGUAAAGUACUUUUUACUUCCCACUACUGAUGGGGACCAAGGAUGACUACCCCUGGAAAAGGUAAAUACAGUGCCUCAUCCACAAACACAUCCACAAAGAGAUGGAGAAUGAAAAGAUGAGACAGAAACUGGCAGUGGGCAAUGGGAAGACUGGGAAGCUGUGAUAGUGCACCCCCUAAUGGAAGCCUCCGGGCAACACACUGGGUUUGUAAGGAGGACACCUGUGGCUCAUUGAUCAUAGUCCAGAAUGGCAGACCCUGGAACCCAGAUCUGAAAGCCAAGAGAACUGGACUGGACUGACUUAAUCUGGGAAACACAGAAGUGUGGUGUGGUGGUCAGGGGGGUUAUGAUUAAGUUCGCAACAACGCCACCUAGGAGAAUUUCACCCCUAGGAAAUAUAAAGAUGAAGCAUUUAAACAAAAUAACCAAAUGUCUGCACAGCUUCAAAAAUGCACCACUGAAGCAGAUUGGUUCCAUUAAAAUAUUUAAAUACCUUUAGUCCUUUAAUACAGAUUUUAAAAUAAUAAAAACCAGUUUCACACCCAAGAUGCUGCACAACAUAGAGACUGUGGGAAAGUACCCACCACCAAAAAGGUCCCACAGCUACUGGCUUAUCUUCAGUCAUGAAAAUAAAAAGCAAGAAUGUUAAAAAUCACAAAAAUAUAAUAGGACACUUGACAUCAGACUCAUACAAGAAAAACUACUAAAAUCCACUCCAGGCAUACAGUGUUAAAAUUUCUUACACACACACACACGCUACAAUAAAAUACACAAGCCAAAGAGUCAUAUACACACUCCACAGGUGAACUGUCGCCUGUGCCAGUGACUGUUGAUAUAACAGGUAAUCCUAGCUCAAACACAACAAAAAGGAAUUCCCAUUUAGCGCUCUCUGUGGCGAGUGGAGCAAAUCACUAAACAAGCUAGUACAAAUAAACAAAUGAUGCAGGUAAAGUAGCAAGACACACGGACAAGAAGUAACUGUGGCAAAACAACGCAGGCAAGACAGGAGGAGUAUAAACAAGACAUUAGUUCCUCAAAGCACAGACCACAAAAUAGUGGCUGCUGCAUCUGCUGUGAAUGCCUUCACAGCACUGAUCAUUUCACACACUUUUUUGUCUCUAUCCUGCAACUGCUGGUUCAGCUUUUUAAUUUUUUCAGUCACAUCCAUCAGGAAAGCCAGAUCAGCCACUCAGCAUCACUUGGUAGUAUGGUAUCCUCUCCUCUCAUCUUACGUUUGCUCAGCACUGGACCUCCGUGUGACUUUUGCACAAAUAGUCUGCUGAUGGAUGAUGCAGUGAUAGUUCAAACAUUUAGGAAAGUCUGGGUCCGCUUUGCCAUGUGCAAUAAAUCUCGAGUGAUGUCCUGUCAUGGCUGCUGCUCCAUCAGUUGUUACAGAAACCAGUUUUUCAAUGGAAAUCUUUUUUCCAACAAGUACCGCUUCAUUGCAUUGUAAAUGUCAACUUCCUUGGUUUCCAGUGGCAGCAAUGUCAAAAAUUCCUCCUUUGUGGAAAAGUCAUCACCAUGUGUGCACAGCUAGCUGUGCCGUAUCACUGUAGUCCACAGACUCAUCACACUGAAGUAAAUACCAGGAGCACCUGUUAAGGUCCAAAUCUAGCUUUCUCUCUGCAUCUGCUGACAGUGUUCAAGCCAAGCUGGACAUCAGCGAUAGCAGAAAGAAUCUCAGUCUUAUUUUCUCAAUGAUUCUGCCAUGGUGGUCAUUGCCUCUUUAAUGAUCCCGACAUUAAUGAAGGGUUUUUUGUGCUUGGUGAGGAUGUGCACCACUUUAAAUGAUGCCUCGGUUGAUGCGCUAGCAUUCUUUGUCUGUUUAGAUUGUUGUUUUUGGAGGAUAGUUUUCAGUUCUUUUACCUUUUCUUUGCAGAGGUUGCUUCCCACUGCAAAGUCCUGGGAAAAGUUGCUGUGAACUUUGGUGAAAUGCUGCUCCACGUUGCAUUUUUUUAGAGACAUCAAGGCUCGCGCCACAGAUCACACACACAUACACACACACACAUUUGUGGGAAAAAAAAGUUGUUUCCCACUCCUCAAGAAAAUAAAUUUUUUGCCUCUUACUAGCAUAACCAAACUCUGCUGCUAUCAUUGUUGCUAAUAGCCUGGCACCUCGUCUGCCUGCUACCUCCAUAUGGCGUCUAACCGCUUCAAUUGCAGACAGCAGCCCGGCACAAACUUUUGAUUGACAGUUAGUUGACAAAUAAUUGUUUCAUUUCAAGAGGGGUAGGGGUAUCUUUAAUUUUGAUUGGAUGGAAAGCUUGGCCAGUUUCGCCAACCUACAAAUUAUAUUUGUUAUUUUCUUGACCACUUUUGUUAUUGACCCCUUUGGCAAGCUACUGAAAAAGGCCCCAUUCGCAAGUGAUGUGUUGGAGACUCCUGCUGUACUCUGAGCCCCUCCCAUAGUAACUCUGGUACCGCCUAGUUACACCGUAUUCAUGUUUACACAUUACUGUGCUCAUUUUCUAUAUUACAGACAAAAUAUGAAGAAAUAAGGAUUGGUUUCUUUAUGGGCAAGAAUUUUUCAAGUUAGACGUUUUUGGAAAUAAACAGACAUUUUAAGUUUAAUCAAACCAAAACCAAAUAAUUUUUUAUAAUCUACAAACGAUUAGUUAGCUCAAACAAAGUGGCCUUUCUUGUUUAGACAGUUCGUAUUGGUUUGCCUGUUGAACACAGCAACUCAUUUAAGACUUCCAUCCAUCCAUCCAUCUUCAUCCGCUUUAUCCGAGGCCGGGUCGCGGGGGCAGCAGCCUAAGCAGAGAAGCCCAGACCUCCCUCUCCCCAGCCACCUCCUCCAGCUUAUCCGGGGAACACCAU